UUUCCGAUGAUGGUAUUUUCUAGGGUUGCUACAUGUCUAAUAUGGUUCACUGCGACAGAUUUAACAUCAGGCUUCAAAUCAAGAUUUCAAACUGAUUCAAGACUCUUUUUCGCUGUACAACUUAACUGGCUUCAAAUCAAGAUUUCAAAGUCAUGCACGAGUCUUUCUCGCUGUACAACUUAACUGGUAAGUAAUUUGUAUCAAAAUACCUUUUUCUUUACCAAUUUAUCUGUAUUUUUCCACCUUUUACAAGCAAACCCUUCAUCUUCUUCAUUUUUC